rnacentral:rRNA from 1 species
AUUGAACGCUGGCGGCAGGCUUAACACAUGCAAGUCGAGCGAGCGGCGGACGGGUGAGUAACGUAUGGGGAUCUGCCCGAUAGAGGGGGCUAACUACUGGAAACGGUCGCUAAUACCGCAUACUAUCGGCUGAACCCAUAUGGGAUUAGCGAGUGGGUGGGGUAAAGGCUCACCUAGGCGACGAUCUCUAGCUGGUCUGAGAGGAUGAUCGGCCAAGCUGCGACUGAGAGACGGCCCAGAGUCCUACGGGUGGCAGCAGUGGGGAAGAUGGCACAAUGGGCGCAAGCCUGAUGCAGCCAUGCCGCGUGUAUGAAGAAGGCCUUAGGGUUGUAAAGUACUUACAGCGGGGAGGCGUUACCCGCAGAAGAAGCACCGGCUAACUCCGUGCCAGCCGCCGCGGUAAUAC